AGUGAACGCUGGCGGUAGGCCUAACACAUGCAAGUCGAACGGCAGCACAGUAAGAGCUUGCUCUUACGGGUGGCGAGUGGCGGACGGGUGAGGAAUACAUCGGACUCUACUUUUUCGUGGGGGAUCACGUAGGGAAACUUACGCUAAUACCGCAUACGACCUACGGGUGAAAGCAGGGGAUCUUCGGACCUUGCGCGAUUGGAUGAGCCGCUGUCGGAUUAGCUAGUUGGCGGGGUAAAGGCCCAGCAAGGCGACGAUCCGUAGCUUGUCUGAGAGGAGGAUCGGCGACACUGGAACUGAGACACGGACCAGAGGCCUAAGGGAGGCAGCAGAGGGGAAUAUUAGACAAUGGGCGCGAGCCUGAUCCAGCCAGACCGCGUGGGUGAAGGAGGCCUUCGGGUUGUAAAGCCCGUUUGUUGGGAAAGAAAAGCAGCAGGUUAAGACCCCGCUGUUGUGACGGUACCCAAAGAAGAAGCACCGGCUAACUACGUG
rnacentral:rRNA from 1 species